GACGAACGCUGGCGGCGUGCUUAACACAUGCAAGUCGAGCGAAGCCUUCGGGCUUAGCGGCGGACGGGUGAGUAACGCGUGGGAACGUGCCCUUUGGUACGGAAUAGCCCCGGGAAACUGGGAGUAAUACCGUAUGUGGUCGAGAGACGAAAGAUUUAUCGCCAAAGGAUCGGCCCGGGUUGGAUUAGGUAGUUGGUGGGGUAAUGGCCUACCAAGCCGACGAUCCAUAGCUGGUUUGAGAGGAUGAUCAGCCACACUGGGACUGAGACACGGCCCAGACUCCUACGGGAGGCAGCAGUGGGGAAUCUUAGACAAUGGGGGAAACCCUGAUCUAGCCAUGCCGCGUGAUCGAUGAAGGCCUUAGGGUUGUAAAGAUCUUUCAGUGGGGAAGAUAAUGACUGUACCCACAGAAGAAGCCCCGGCUAACUCCGUGCCAGCCGCCGCAGUAA
rnacentral:rRNA from 1 species